CGAUGCGGUCUUACCAUGCAGUCGAACGAUGAUGCCCAGCUUGCUGGGCGGAUUAGUGGCGAACGGGUGAGUAAUACGUGAGUAACCUGCCCUUGACUCUGGGAUAAGCCUGGGAAACUGGGUCUAAUACUGGAUACUACCUCUUACCGCAUGGUGGGUGGUGGAAAGGGUUUUACUGGUUUUGGAUGGGCUCACGGCCUAUCAGCUUGUUGGUGGGGUAAUGGCUCACCAAGGCGACGACGGGUAGCCGGCCUGAGAGGGUGACCGGCCACACUGGGACUGAGACACGGCCCAGACUCCUACGGGAGGCAGCAGUGGGGAAUAUUGCACAAUGGGCGGAAGCCUGAUGCAGCGACGCCGCGUGAGGGAUGACGGCCUUCGGGUUGUAAACCUCUUUCAGUAGGGAAGAAGCGAGAGUGACGGUACCUGCAGAAGAAGCGCCGGCUAACUACGUGCCAGCAGCCGCGGUAAUACGUAGGGCGCAAGCGUUGUCCGGAAUUAUUGGGCGUAAAGAGCUCGUAGGCGGUUUGUCGCGUCUGCUGUGAAAGCCCGGGGCUCAACCCCGGGUCUGCAGUGGGUACGGGCAGACUAGAGUGCAGUAGGGGAGACUGGAAUUCCUGGUGUAGCGGUGAAAUGCGCAGAUAUCAGGAGGAACACCGAUGGCGAAGGCAGGUCUCUGGGCUGUUACUGACGCUGAGGAGCGAAAGCAUGGGGAGCGAACAGGAUUAGAUACCCUGGUAGUCCAUGCCGUAAACGUUGGGCACUAGGUGUGGGGGACAUUCCACGUUUUCCGCGCCGUAGCUAACGCAUUAAGUGCCCCGCCUGGGGAGUACGGCCGCAAGGCUAAAACUCAAAGGAAUUGACGGGGGCCCGCACAAGCGGCGGAGCAUGCGGAUUAAUUCGAUGCAACGCGAAGAACCUUACCAAGGCUUGACAUUCACCGGACCGCCCCAGAGAUGGGGUUUCCCUUCGGGGCUGGUGGACAGGUGGUGCAUGGUUGUCGUCAGCUCGUGUCGUGAGAUGUUGGGUUAAGUCCCGCAACGAGCGCAACCCUCGUUCUAUGUUGCCAGCACGUGAUGGUGGGGACUCAUAGGAGACUGCCGGGGUCAACUCGGAGGAAGGUGGGGAUGACGUCAAAUCAUCAUGCCCCUUAUGUCUUGGGCUUCACGCAUGCUACAAUGGCCGGUACAAAGGGUUGCGAUACUGUGAGGUGGAGCUAAUCCCAAAAAGCCGGUCUCAGUUCGGAUUGAGGUCUGCAACUCGACCUCAUGAAGUCGGAGUCGCUAGUAAUCGCAGAUCAGCAACGCUGCGGUGAAUACGUUCCCGGGCCUUGUACACAUGUCCGUCAAGUCACGAAAGUUGGUAACACCCGAAGCCGGUGGCCUAACCCCUUGUGGGAGGGAGCCGUCGAAGGUGGGACUGGCGAUGGACAAGUCUACAGGCGCGGCCU
rnacentral:rRNA from 1 species